rnacentral:piRNA from 1 species
UGGACAUAGUAAAGUUGACCCAGAAUCAUGUC